rnacentral:rRNA from 1 species
AUGCGAAGAGGAAGAGGCCACAGAAGGAUUCUUGCGUCCCAAAUGUCAGUUUCAGGUUCACGGCCAGGAUGGUGGAUUCGUUCUUCGAUGGCCAGACUAUCCAUGUCAAGCGGCGGCAUGAGAAGAGCUCCGGCAAGGUCGUCAUGUGCCGGUGCAUCUCACCUUAAGCACAUGCUGCAGAGUCCGGCUGCUGUGGCUCCGUUCCCUCUCAGUUCUAUUUUUCUUUACUCUCCCUUGUUUACUGUUUGCCUUAAUCUUGAUUUGUUUUGUCGGUUCAUGCAGUUCAUUAGUUCUUUCUUUGCUGGAUGUUUGGCGCGCUGGCACUGA